UUGGAGGGCAAGUCUGGUGCCAGCAGCCGCGGUAAUUCCAGCUCCAAUAGCGUAUAUUAAAGUUGUUGCAGUUAAAAAGCUCGUAGUUGAAUUUCGAGAUCAAAUUGUUGGUCGUGCCUCGGUACGCACUGGCAUUAUUGAUUUCUCCCUUCUGACGAUCCGCGAUGUCAUUAAUUUGGUGUCGCGGGGAAUCAGGACUGUUACUUUGAAAAAAUUAGAGUGUUUAAAGCAGGCUCACGCUUGAAUACAUUAGCAUGGAAUAAUGAAAUAGGACGUUUGAUUCUAUUUUGUUGGUUUCUAGGAUCGACGUAAUGAUUAAUAGGGAUAGUUGGGGGCAUUAGUAUUCAAUUGUCAGAGGUGAAAUUCUUGGAUUUAUUGAAGACUAACUACUGCGAAAGCAUUUGCCAAGGAUGUUUUCAUUAAUCAAGAACGAAAGUUAGGGGAUCGAAGACGAUCAGAUACCGUCGUAGUCUUAACCAUAAACUAUGCCGACUAGGGAUCGGAUGAUGUUAAUUUUUUAAUGACUCAUUCGGCGCCUUACGGGAAAC
rnacentral:rRNA from 1 species